GUGAUCUUUCCUCCGGCAUUUGUAGUGGUUUGAAUCUGCCGCUUCCGGUUGUCAGUUCCAGCUGUCCGUUGCAGCGUAAGGCAACGGGGGCGAGAACGAUACCGUGAUUGGGGGUGGAUUUCGAGGCCUUCGUUCCUGACAGUUGUUCUUCUCCGGAGCCGGGCCUCGCAGCGCCGGGAUCUCCUGAUGUUACCGCAUCCUAAAGAAGACGAGCAUCGGCCACGCUAAGAAUCGGGCCAGCUGUGGUGGCCCAUUUGCUGGGUGAGUCUUCUGUCUCGCGGGGUGGGAGCCGGGCGCACGUGAGGUCGAGGGACGUUAAGGUCCUCCGGCGCGCGAUACGUCCGCCCUCUGUCUGUCGCGCGUGUCCCUGGUUUCACCCCUAGCCAAGGGGGACUGCUGCCAUCUUGAACGUCUUUGGCGGCCCGAACCGCGACCUCCCGCGAGGAGGGAAGGGACUUCCAGGGUUUCUGACCCCGAAGGAAUGGCAGAUCACACAGCUGUAAAGGCAAAAACUCUGAGAACAGAUGAAAAAAAAACCUCAGGAGACUUCAAUUACAGACACAUAUAGAGGAACAGAGCGCAGACAUGCAGUCAUUCUGGUUGACAAUAAUGAGUGAAACAAAGAUCUAUAAAGUCAGAAAGUUGCUGUGGACACAAUUGCAAUGCAUAACUAAAAUUUAAAAAGAGAAUUACAUCAGCAGUACCACAAGAGCCGGGCCUCACAGCGCCGGGACCUCCUGAUGUUACCGCAUCCUAAAGAAGACGAGCAUCGGCCACGCUAAGAAUCGGGCCAGCUGUGGUGGCCCAUUUGCUGGGUACAAUUUGGUUCUUAGCCCGGUCCCCCAAUCAUGACCUUUGACCAGGGCACCAGUAAUACAAACCCUGCUCGCAGCGCCAAUUGUUGUGGGGAAAAUCACCAACCUCGGAGUCAGAGUUGGGUUCAAUGAUAGAGUUUAUUGCACAAGAAAAUACCGGAGCUCCAGGAAGAGAAAGACACCAACAGCACAGACGUCAGCUGCGAGUCUUCUCUCGACCCGGAGCACAUGUCGAGAAAUUUUAAUACAUCUUGUGAUACAAUAGGUCAGUGAUGGGAAUACUGUCUUUGUACAUGGUUUGUUUAUAGUAAUCGUUACAGAUUCAUUGAUAGUUUUGAUACAGUCUUUGUCAGUCCUAGCGCAGCCUUUGUUAAUUUCUGUGUGGUCAUUGCCAGUUUCAGUGUAAACAAUGUCAGUUUCAACGCCUGCACAGAAAUCCAUUGCUGUUGUAAUGGGUGCUAAUCGCUCUUCCUGAGAAGGACGAUUACUGCAGCCUUGGUCAUUAAAAUUUCGUAUUGAGCCUGUAUCAAGUUGUUAGCAUUUCUAUAAGUGGUGGUGGCUGGACCCAGACACUUCGACAGGCAAUGUUCGUUACUCAUGUGUAUUCUCUCCCCCACUGCCUUAAUCUAAUCAAUUGCAUUGUGCUGACAUUCUGGUGGCCUCAGGCAGUGUCUGUAUUUGCUCUGCUGUUUCUCUCCAUGUUGUGAUCCGGCGGCCAUCUUAUGUGUCAAGUUGGCCAACUGAUGGCUCAGCGGCCGUCUUGUGUGUCCAUAUGCCAGUGUCACCCUGCCCCGUGCCACCUCCCUCUUCAGUUGUAAGCUCCUUACCAGAAUAAAUUCUUCUACACUGAACAGCAUUUGAUCACAAUCACUCAUGAAAGCAGUGCUGUUAGUGUGUCCUUGUUCAGAUCAGCACAAAGCCAUGUUG